rnacentral:rRNA from 1 species
UACGUAGGGGGCUAGCGUUGUCCGGAAUCAUUGGGCGUAAAGCGCGUGUAGGCGGUCCGGUAAGUCCGCUGUGAAAGCCAGGGGCUCAACCCUUGGAUGCCGGUGGAUACUGUCGGGCUUGAGUACGGAAGAGGCGAGUGGAAUUCCUGGUGUAGCGGUGAAAUGCGCAGAUAUCAGGAGGAACACCAAUGGCGAAGGCAGCACUCUGGGACGUGACUGACGCUGAGACGCGAAAGCGUGGGGAGCAAACAGG